UACGUAGGGGGCUAGCGUUGUCCGGAUUUAUUGGGCGUAAAGAGCGUGUAGGCGGCCAGGGAGGUCUGAUGUGAAAACUCGAGGCUCAACCUCGAGACGCCGAUGGAAACCCCCGAACUAGAGUCCGGAAGAGGAGAGUGGAAUUCCUGGUGUAGCGGUGAAAUGCGCAGAUAUCAGGAAGAACACCCGUGGCUAAGGCGGCUCUCUAGUACGGUACUGACGCUGAGACGCGAAAGCGUGGGGAGCGAACAGG
rnacentral:rRNA from 1 species